UAACAUUGUCUGUGUUCUUCAAUAAUGUCUCUCUCCCUGUAGGCCCGUUCAUCCCCAGAGCACCAACCAGGACCCCCAACAGGACCAAGGAUAUAGCCAGGUUCAGUUUCUUGAUGCUGGGUAUACAGGUCAGCUAUAUGAUUCUGCUGAUGUUUCUGCUGGGUUACAAGAUGGGCUGUAUGAAGAGAUUGAAUUAAGAUCCAUCUCGGCAUAGUAGUUGGACGAAAAAAAGAGGUGAACAACCUGUGCCAUAAAAAUGUAUAAAACAUGAACAACAAAGUAAUUAAACUAAACACUUCAUUUGCUUGUCCUCCUCAAAAGCAGGAGUUACAGACGAGUUAAGCUAUUAAUUUUCAGUGAUGGCUGUGUUUUUUUUUCACCAAACUGGGCAACUUUGAAUGUAAUGUGUAAUAAGUGUAUUGGUCGCUGGUGGUGUGUUUCUGGGCAAAUUUUAAUCUGAACAGCUGCCGACAACCUUUUAAUAGAUGUGGGGACGUCUGUUUGUCCCCACUGUACUAAGUAAAGGACAUGAUCCACCUACCUUCACUGAGAGCUGUGGAAACAGUGUUCCCAUUGAUUUCCAAUGACAACGUAGCGUUUACAAGUGAUCUUUGCAGUGAGACGCUGACCUGCGUGAUUCAGGCUUGUAAAGAACUUUUAUAUUCAGACAACUUUAUGCAAAUCAACAGCUGUGCACGGUCUGCAAACACCAGUCACCAGAUUUGCUGUCAGUGUUUUGAUGAAAUCUCUCCCCUCUCCACUGUAAUGAACAAUUGAACAAAGAAAAUGUCCUAUUUACUAACAGGAGCAGGCUUCAUUUGAACCAGUUAUGUUCAAGCCAUCAACAAAGACAACAAACAUGCUGCCAAAUUAACACACUCCUAUAUAAUUUGUGGUGAGGCUGUAGAAAAGAAAAGCCAAUAUUCCCCUGAGCAUUGUCUUCAGAGCCUCCAAUGCAUCUGGCAUUAAUUAUCAGCUUGUAGAUCUAUUGUGUGUUAGAGAGAGAUGGGAGAGUGUGAACAGAGUGCUGCCUACAAGCAGCAGCACGAGCAACAAUUGACAGGACUGUCUGAGAGAACAACAAAGGUUUCAUGAACUCAGCCCAGUCAUUUUCAGUUGCUUCAGUUAUUUUGUCAGUGUAAAAAGCACUUUUUUUACCGAAGCUCAGCGUGUGUUUAAAUUUAUGGCAUUGCUUGAUUUGACCAACCACUGUAGAAAAUUAUGCAGAAAAGUAAUUUUGUUCUUGUCCCAAAUUAACACCCCCAUCGAAGUCAGAAUCAAAC
ensembl:lncRNA